AUUGAACGCUGGCGGCAUGCCUUACACAUGCAAGUCGAACGGCAGCACGGGGGCAACCCUGGUGGCGAGUGGCGAACGGGUGAGUAAUACAUCGGAACGUAUCCUGUAGCGGGGGAUAACCCUCUCGAAAGAGAGGCUAAUACCGCAUACGACCUACGGGUGAAAGAGGGGGAUCGCAAGACCUCUCACUAUUGGAGCGGCCGAUGUCGGAUUAGCUAGUUGGUGGGGUAAAAGCCUACCAAGGCUACGAUCCGUAGCUGGUCUGAGAGGACGACCAGCCACACUGGAACUGAGACACGGUCCAGACUCCUACGGGAGGCAGCAGUGGGGAAUUUUGGACAAUGGGCGCAAGCCUGAUCCAGCCAUG
rnacentral:rRNA from 1 species